rnacentral:tRNA from 2 species
GCCCUCGUCGUUCAAUGGAUAGGACGCCUCCCUGCGAAGGAGGAAAUCCAGGUUCGAUUCCUGGUGGGGGCA